rnacentral:rRNA from 1 species
AUACGAAGGGGGCUAGCGUUGUUCGGAAUCACUGGGCGUAAAGCGCACGUAGGUGGAUCAAUCAGUUGAGGGUGAAAUCCCGGGGCUCAACCUCGGAACUGCCUUCAAUACUGUUGAUCUUGAGUCCGAGAGAGGUGAGUGGAAUUCCUAGUGUAGAGGUGAAAUUCGUAGAUAUUAGGAAGAACACCAGUGGCGAAGGCGGCUCACUGGCUCGGUACUGACGCUGAGACGCGAAAGCGUGGGGAGCAAACAGGAUUAGAAACCCUGGUAGUCC